UUACGGCUAUAUCACGUUAAAACAAUUGUUCUCGUCCGAUCACCGAAGUUAAGCAACGUCGAGCAUUGUCAAUAACUAGAUGCGUGUCCGCUUGGGAAUACCAGAUGCAGUAA